rnacentral:misc_RNA from 1 species
AUAGGUGAUCAGCCUGGGAGUCCAAAGGUGUUCCCUACUAGGUGACAAGCCCCCUCAGAACAAAGUACACUUGGCCACAGUUACUCUAUUUCCUGUGUCAUAUGAGCUAUGAUCAUGACCAAAAGUAAGUGCCAAAGACCAUGGACCAAUUAAAGCACCUAAGCAUCGCCUAAGAAAAUGCUUAGAUUCUUUAACCAUGCUAGUUACCCACGUCUGGGCCAUCCGACAAGGCCAGUGCACUCUACCCCCGACAACGUAUGAACAUGGCCAAAAGCUAGUGGCAAAGACCCUAGAAGGUCAGUGCACAGUGCCCCCCACGAACAUACACAACAUACACAUGCCAAUGCAUAUCCAACAUCAAUCAACACUCCAUAUCCAUAUUGUCAAACCCUAAUUUCGU